AUUGAACGCUGGCGGCAGGCCUACCACAUGCAAGUCGAACGAGUUGCGGACGGGUGAGUAAUGUCUGGGCAACUGCCCGAUGGCGGGGGGUAACUACUGGAAACGGUAGCUAAUACCGCAUACCAUCGGAUGUGCCCAGAUGGGAUUAGCUAGUAGGUGGGUUAACGGCUCACCUAGGCGACGGUCCCUAGCUGGUCUGAGAGGAUGACCAGCCACGCUGGAACUGAGACACGGUCCAGACUGCUACGGGAGUCAGGAGUGGGGAAUAUUGCACAAUGGGCGCAAGCCUGAUGCAGCCAUGCCGCGUGUAUGAAGUAGGCCUUCGGGUGGUAAAGGACUUUCAGCGAGGAGGCGUUACUCGGAGAAGAAGCAACGGCAAACUCCGUGCCAGCAGCCGCGGUAAUAC
rnacentral:rRNA from 1 species